rnacentral:rRNA from 1 species
UAGAGUUUGAUCCUGGCUCAGGAUGAACGCUGGCGGCGCGCCUAACACAUGCAAGUCGAGCGGCACCCCUCCUCGGAGGGAAGCGAGCGGCGAACGGCUGAGUAACACGUGACCAACCUGCCCUGCGCACGGGGACAGCCGCGGGAAACCGCGGGUGAUACCCGGUGGCCCCCUGGGACCGCAUGGCCCCAGGGGCAUAGCUCCGGCGGCGCGGGAUGGGGUCGCGGCCCAUCAGGUAGUUGGUAGGGUGACGGCCUACCAAGCCGACUACGGGUAGCCGGGUUGAGAGACCGACCGGCCAGAUCGGGACCGAGACACGGCCCAGACUCCUACGGGAGGCAGCAGUGGGGAAUCUUGCGCAAUGGGGGGAACCCUGACGCAGCGACGCCGCGUGCGGGAUGGAGGCCUUCGGGUCGUGAACCGCUUUCAGCAGGGACGAGACUGACGGUACCUGCAGAAGAAGCCCCGGCUAACUACGUGCCAGCAGCCGCGGUAAUAC